rnacentral:rRNA from 1 species
GGGACGAACGCUGGCGGCGUGCUUAACACAUGCAAGUCGAGCGGUAAGGCCCUUUCGGGGGUACACGAGCGGCGAACGGGUGAGUAACACGUGAGCAAUCUGCCCUUCACUUCGGGAUAAGCCUCGGAAACGGGGUCUAAUACCGGAUAUGACCGCGCUACGCAUGUGGUGUGGUGGAAAGUUUCUGGCGGUGGAGGAUGAGCUCGCGGCCUAUCAGCUUGUUGGUGGGGUAAUGGCCUACCAAGGCUUCGACGGGUAGCCGGCCUCGAGAGGGUGACCGGCCACGACUGGGACUGAGACACGGCCCAGACUCCGUACGGGAGGCAGCAGGUGGGGAAUAGUUGGACAAUGGGACGAAAGCCUGAUCCAGCAACGCCGCGUGAGGAUGACGGUCCUUCGGGUUGUAAACCCUUCUUUCGA